UCCUGGUUAGCUCAGUUAGGGGAGCGCUCCACUGGAAAUGGAGACUUCCCGGGUUCGAUACCAGGACCAGGCG
rnacentral:tRNA from 1 species